rnacentral:rRNA from 1 species
GACGAACGCUGGCGGCGUGCUUAACACAUGCAAGUCGAACGGGCCUGUCUUCUUUUUUGGGGGUGGGUUGAGUGGCGAACGGGUGAGUAUCACGUGAGUAACCUGCCCUUCGGUCCUGGAUAACCGCUUGAAAGGGCGGCUAAUACGGGGUGGUCCGGUUGGUCCGCAUGGGCUGGUCGGGAUAGAUUCACUGUUUUUGGUGUUUCGGCGGGGGAUGGGCUCGCGGCCUAUCAGCUUGUUGGUGGGGUGCUGGCCUCCCAAGGCGGUGACGGGUAGCCGGCCUGAGAGGGUGGGCGGCCACACUGGGACUGAGAUACGGCCCAGACUCCUGCGGGAGGCAGCAGUGGGGGGUAUUGCACAAUGGGCGGAAGCCUGAUGCAGCGACGUCGCGUGAGGAUGGAGGCCUUCGGGUUGUGAACCUCUGUUUCCGGUGGUGAAGGCCCUGUCCGUGUGGUGGGGUUGACGGUAGCCGGGGAUGAAGCGCCGGCUAACUACGUG